UUCGGGACAGAGGAGACAGGUGGUGCAUGGUUGUCGUCAGCUCGUGUCGUGAGAUGUUGGGUUAAGUCCCGCAACGAGCGCAACCCCUAUCCUUAGUAGCCAGCAGUUCGGCUGGGCACUCUAGGGAGACUGCCAGGGAUAACCUGGAGGAAGGCGGGGAUGACGUCAAAUCAUCAUGCCCCUUAUGAUCUGGGCGACACACGUGUUUCAAUGGUGCCUACAAAGGUUAGCGCCCAUGGGAAUGUGAGCAAAUCCCAGAAACGUCAUGCCAGUUCGGGGUGUAGUCUGCAACUCGACUACAUGAAGCUGGAAUCGCUAGUAAUCGCGAAUCAGAAUGUCGCGGUGAAUACGUUCCCGGGUCUUGUACACACCGCCCGUCACACCAUGGGAGUCGGAUAUGCCCGAAGUCAGUACCC
rnacentral:rRNA from 1 species